GAUGAAGAACGUAGCGAAAUGCGAUACGUAGUGUGAAUUGCAGAAUUCAGUGAAUCAUCGAAUCUUUGAACGCACAUUGCACCUCUCGGUAUUCCGGGAGGUAUGCCUGUUCGAGCGUCAUUUGUACCCUCAAGCUCUGCUUGGUGUUGGGUGUUUGUUCCGCCUCUGUGUGUGAACUCGCCUCAAAACAAUUGGUAGCCGGCGUACUUGUUUCGGAGCGCAGCACAUUUUGCGAUCCAGAUCAACGUACAGCGGCAUCCAAGAAGCCUUAUUUAACGCUCUUGACCUCGGAUCAGGUAGGGAUACCCGCUGAACUUAAGCAUAUCAAUAAGCGGAGGA
rnacentral:misc_RNA from 1 species